GACGAACGCUGGCGGCGUGCCUAAUACAUGCAAGUAGAACGCUGAAGGGAGGAGCUUGCUCUUCUUGGAUGAGUUGCGAACGGGUGAGUAACGCGUAGGUAACCUGCCUUGUAGCGGGGGAUAACUAUUGGAAACGAUAGCUAAUACCGCAUAACAAUGGAUGACACAUGUAAUUUAUUUGAAAGGGGCAAUUGCUCCACUACAAGAUGGACCUGCGUUGUAUUAGCUAGUAGGUGAGGUAAUGGCCCACCUAGGCGGAGAUACAUAGCCGACCUGGGAGGGUGAUCGGCCCAACUGGGACUGAGACAAGGCCCAGACUCCUUCGGGAGGCAGCAGUAGGGGAUCUUUGGCAAUUGGGGCAACCCUGACCGAGCAACGCCGCGGGAGGUAAGAAGGGUCUCGGAUCGUAAAGCUCUGUUGUAAGUCAAGAACGGGUGUUAGAGUAGAAAGUUCACACUGUGACGGUAGCUUACCAGAAAGGGACGGCUAACUACGUG
rnacentral:rRNA from 1 species